UGGGUAUUCGCCAAACGGUAAGGCAGAGGACUCUGAAUCCUUAAUUUACUGGUUCGAACCCAGUAUACCCAA
rnacentral:tRNA from 1 species